rnacentral:rRNA from 1 species
UAACCGCUGAAAGCAUCUAAGCGGGAAACCUUCUCCAAGAUCAGGUUUCUCACCCUUUUAGAGGGAUAAGGCCCCCCGCAGACCACGGGAUCGAUAGGCCAGACCUGGAAGCUCAGCAAUGAGUGCAGGGAACUGGCACUAACCGGCCGAAAACUUACCAACACACAA